CUUCCUGCUCACAACAUAAAGACCAGUUCCCUCUGGCCUCUACAGUUUGGCUCAGCACCAGGGAACCUGUGUCCUCUCUGAGACCAAGGCACCACUUCAGUGACAGGAGAAAUGAGACACCAAGAAGCAGGAGUUGCCUUGUAACUUACCCAGGUUUCCUGAGGUGAAUGAAGUCAGAAGUGGCAUUCAGGAAGCUGUGAAUAUCUCCAGAUUAUCCAGGUGUUCUCUCUGCAGCUGGAACAGAAUGGAAGUGAUGACAGAAGAAAGAUACCAGUCCAUUUCUCUCCCCCUGCCACCCCAACUCAAAUUCUGGUAAUUAGCUUCCUUUGCUAGCUUCCAUCCACAGCUCCAGUGGCUGAGCCAAAGUCUGAUCACAUGUAAGAGGCUCUGAAAAUCUCACCAAACACUUUCCAACAACCCUGUAAGGUAAGUUUUUUUUGUCCCAUUUCUAGAGAAGACAAAUUAAGCCCAAAGAAAAACUUGCCCAAGCCACGUUGGCUAAUUGAUGCUCAAGACAUUAGAACCUAAGUUUGUCUGAUUCUUUACGCUAUGCCAUAUACAGUUACCAUGACUGUGGUUGGGCUGAGAGCCACACUUCUGAUUGGUUUAGGCUGAAUUGGGUAGGUAGAGAAGGAAGUGUGGAGGUAGAAAAGACUGUUUAGAUCCUUAGCUUUGAGGUCACACCCUCAUAUCAAUCUGGAGGGACUUGUCACCCUCUUACAUUCCACUAAAAUAGUUGUGAAAAAACACUGAGUACUUUCUUGUAGAAAAACUUCUUGGGGCAGUUUUUUUAAAAAUUUAUUUUUUAGUUGGACACAAUAGUUUAUUUUGUUUAUUUUUAUGUGGUGCUGAGGAUCGAACCCAGGGCCUCAAACGUGCUAGACAAGCAUUCUAUUGCUAAGCCACAACCCCAGCCCUCUUGGGGCAGUUUUUCAUUCCUGGUAAUCUUGAGAUGUUUGCCACUAUUGAUGCCAGUAUUUAAUAUAGAACAGUUACUUUCUCAUAGAUCAACUGCCACUGCUGGGAAGGGCAAGAAUUUUACACUGGUAAUUUGGCAUUUUUAGCAACAGGAUCUUGGUUUUGCCAAGAGGAUGCUCCAAGAGGUUCCAGGCCUGACUCUGCUCCUGGAAGCUUUCUUUCUUCCCUGGUAGCUCUGCGUUCAAGAUUUCAGUGCCACAUGGUGAUCUCUACUGCCUUUUUUUUGCUCUGUUGAUGUGGCUCACCUCUUAUCCAGAGGGAUAUAUAAAGCAGGGAGGUAAAAGGACCAAGCAGGAAAGUUUGAGGGCAUAAGAGUGUGAUAUAGGACAUAACCCCUAACUGCAAGUAACUUAUUGUAUAACCUUUAGCAAAUCUCUUCCCAAGAUAUCUUAGUUCUGUUAAAGCAAUUGCUAAUAGUUCUUGCUCUAAUUCUGGUAGCAGAGCCAUCGUUUGAACAUUAUAUAUAUAUAUAUACACACACACACACACACACACACACACGCACAGUAAGGACUUUACAUGCAUUAUCUUAGGCCAUUCUUAAAGUUACUUUAUGAGGUAGGUACUAUACUUAUACAUACUUUGUGACUGUGGAAAACAAGAGCUCAGAUAGGAAAAAUAAUGUAUCCAUGGUUGUUGAGCUAGUUAACAUUAGAGAGAAUUUGAGCCCAUUUUUUUGUUACUUUAAAAAAACUUUAAUUUCUCAAUCUUAAUAACUAAGUCAUACUUAACAUAGCAACUUUUACCAAUGGAAACAUUUUCCCUCACAUUACUUGUGUUUGUAACCAUUUUUAACCUCAAAGUCUGUGUGCAUAAGCAAAACACUGUGAGAACACAGCUUGGGAGUAUUGGGAAGAAGUGGGAGCAAGGACACUGACUAGGGGACCUGAUCUUUUCCUCGAGUCAAGAAGGCAGAAUGAUGACCAAAUUGUCUCCUCUCUGCUGUGUAGAGGAGCUCACUAAAGCUGGGGACACAUAGAAAUGUCAGAUCUAUAGUACUUAGACAGGAGGAUCUCCGAGCUAAACACUCAGGAUCUCUUUUCUCAUUAGGAGUCUUCUACCUGGUUUGCUCACUUCUCUAUUCUCAUGUUGCAGCUGAUCCCUGAAGAGGGACCUCUGCAGUUUUCCUGAAGCUACAGAUGUGACUUCACUAGUGCUUUCUCUCUCUUUCCUUCUAGGGCCACAUCCUCCAGGAAGAUCUCUGUCCCGUGGAAGACCCUGGCCUGGCCUCCAGCAGUGCCACGCUCCGUGUAUUUGACAAGCUGAGUUGGACACUCCGUGUGGUAGAGUGUCAGUUUGUCAAAUACCCCAAGUGCGGCACAUGCUUAGCAGCUCCACACCAGGGCAGAUGGGAUACAACAUAUUUGCUGCCAAGUGGAUGUAAGAAUGCUCAUUAAACAACAAGGUCUCCUAAUUUAUUUUUUUGUAACUUUGAGGGAACCCAAGCAAUGCAUAUGAGGGUUUCAGGGGGAAAGUUCAGCAUCUCUGAUAAUUAUAGCCCUGGUCUUCGUCUACACACAUCAUGAGAAUGCCUAGGAGCACACAAUAGUCUUGAAAAGACAUAAGGGAUACAGGGAUAGAAGUACUCUUUGAUUUGUUAUUCUCUUCUUCCUUCACAUUCCCCUUCCAGAGUGUCACAGUCAAGACACCAGAAUCAAAUAAUACAGGUUAUAUGAGAAAGCUGGGCAUGGAAAUCCACUCUUUUUAUGUUCAUUCUUGUCUUCUAAACACAGACUGGCUUUUUCUACCUCUUCCUUUUUCCUCAACCCUCUUCUUGAAACAACUUCUCCAUUUCUCUUGCCCUAAUUCUUUCCCAUAUUUCCUGGCCCCACCACAGUAUAGUCUCUCCAGGGACUUUUGAAAGUCAUCCCAUGCUUACCCUUCUUGCACAGCACUCCUUGCCUGAGUCCUGAUAUAUGCCCCAAUAUCUCAUUCCACACAAUAUAAUCUUUUGGAUCAUGAGUGAACUUUUCCAAGGCUUACUCUUGAAUUCCCCACUAUAUUGUGAGCUUCUAGAAGACAAGAAUAUAUUUCCUUGAUUGUUGUCUCCCCUACCAUAACCCCAUAUUUUGGUUACAGAAAAUAUUCAAUAAAUGUCUGCUGAUUGAUUGACUUUCUACUUA